UCCCGAAGGUUAGCGGCGGACGGGUGAGUAACACAUGGGCAACCUGCCUAUAAGACUGGGAUAACUUCGGGAAACCGGAGCUAAUACCGGAUAAUUCUUUUCUACACAUGUAGAAAAGCUAAAAGACGGUUUACGCUGUCACUUAUAGAUGGGCCCGCGGCGCAUUAGCUAGUUGGUGAGGUAACGGCUCACCAAGGCCACGAUGCGUAGCCGACCUGAGAGGGUGAUCGGCCACACUGGGACUGAGACACGGCCCAGACUCCUACGGGAGGCAGCAGUAGGGAAUCUUCCGCAAUGGACGAAAGUCUGACGGAGCAACGCCGCGUGAGUGAUGAAGGUUUUCGGAUCGUAAAACUCUGUUGUUAGGGAAGAACAAGUACGAGAGUAACUGCUCGUACCUUGACGGUACCUAACCAGAAAGCCACGGCUAACUACGUGCCAGCAGCCGCGGUAAUACGUAGGUGGCAAGCGUUGUCCGGAAUUAUUGGGCGUAAAGCGCGCGCAGGCGGUCCUUUAAGUCUGAUGUGAAAGCCCACGGCUCAACCGUGGAGGGUCAUUGGAAACUGGGGGACUUGAGUACAGGAGAGAAGAGUGGAAUUCCACGUGUAGCGGUGAAAUGCGUAGAGAUGUGGAGGAACACCAGUGGCGAAGG
rnacentral:rRNA from 1 species